UACGUAGGGUGCAAGCGUUGUCCGGAAUUAUUGGGCGUAAAGAGCUCGUAGGCGGUCUGUCGCGUCUGCUGUGAAAACUCAGGGCUUAACCCUGAGCUUGCAGUGGGUACGGGCAGACUAGAGUGCGGUAGGGGAGACUGGAAUUCCUGGUGUAGCGGUGAAAUGCGCAGAUAUCAGGAGGAACACCGGUGGCGAAGGCGGGUCUCUGGGCCGAUAUUGACGCUGGAGGAGCGAAAGCGUGGGGAGCAACAGG
rnacentral:rRNA from 1 species